GAUGAAGAACGCAGCGAAAUGCGAUACGUAAUGUGAAUUGCAGAAUUCAGUGAAUCAUCGAAUCUUUGAACGCAUAUUGCGCUCUCUGGUAUUCCGGAGAGCAUGCUUGUUUGAGUAUCAGUAAACACCUCAACUUCCAUAUCUUUUUUGAAAUGGGAGUUGGACUUGAGUGAUCCCAACGCUUUUCCUCACCGAAAAGUGGCGGGUUACUUGAAAUGCAGGUGCAGCUGGACUUUUCUCUGAGCUAUAAGCAUAUCUAUUUAGUCUGCCUAAAAAACAGAUUAUUACCUUUGCUGCAGCUAAAAUAAAGGAGAUUAGUUCUUGUGCUGACUGAUGCAGGAUUCACAAAGACAGCUUCGGCCGACUUUGUAAACUCGAUCUCAAAUCAAGUAAGACUACCCGCUGAACUUAAGCAUAUCAAUAAGCGGAGGA
rnacentral:misc_RNA from 1 species